UCUCCGUAGGUGAACCUGCGGAGGGAUCAUUACAGAGUUCGUGCCCUCGCGGGUAGAUCUCCCACCCUGUGUUAUUGCUACCUUUGUUGCUUUGGCGGGCCGCCCUCGGCUUCCGGCCCCGGCUGGUACGCGCCCGCCAGAGGACCCCAAACCCUGAACGUCAGUGUCGUCUGAGUACUAUACAAUAGUUAAAACUUACAACAACGGAUCUCUUGGUUCUG
rnacentral:misc_RNA from 1 species